GUACUUCUAUAGUAUAGGCCAGAAUAUUUAAAAAGAAAACUGACGAGUCAAGUAGCUCGACACCAGAACAUGCAUACAUGCCGAAACAUUAAAAGGGUAAAUGCCUGCACACAACUACCGGCAAGUGCAAGUGCUCGUACUUAGUGUCAGGCGAUAUCAAAGUUCAAGUGAUGCAACAUCAGAAACAAGAAUACCAAGCCGCC